GAGGAGCUGCUGCCGCCCUCGGGUGCUCUGCGGAUGAAAGUCAAGGCUGCUGGAGGACUUCUUAAGGCAUGGAAGCUGAGGAGGUGCGUGAUGCAGAGCCGUGGUGCAAAAUGAAGGGAAGAGACACAAAUAGUUGGAGAUCAAAAGAUUCUCUUUCAGCUCAGAUUCAGUUGGCAUCGAGCUGUUGCAGCGCUGCGUUACGCCGUUUCAAGGACACUGAUCCCCAGCGUGCCACGGGGAGAGGCAACCUGAAGCUCCUGGGGGAGCAGCACAGCUCUGCUGCAGUCCUUCUGGCUGGGUAGUCAGGACCAGAGCUGCAGCCAGGCAGAAGUGGUCUGCUGGUGGGGACCUUGCGAUCACUGGCGAGCAGCAGGAGGGCUCAGAGGUGGUGGCAUUCCCACGGUGGCAUUCGCACACGGCACCGUGCUGGGCACCGUGCAGGCUGAGGCAUCGCAGCGGUAGCAGCACAGGGGACGCAGGGGAGCACGAGGUUACGUUGAGCCUGCUCGUUCUCAUUAUUAGAGUGACAUCCUCAGGGGGAAAGGUGGACGGGAGAAGUCGGGGCUGACACAUGCUGACAAGGGAGCUAUGACUUGUUAAUGAGCAAGGUUUGUUCUCGUCACUCGGGUUGGCCCCACGUUUGGUGCUGCAGGCGGCCACGGCUCCGUGGGACGGAUGGGCAGGUGAAGCCACAGAGCUGAACUGUGUUUCAGCUGCUAGUGUCUGAAAAAACAACCUUUGAACCCAGCUUGUGGGGUGCAGGCAAUGCUCAGGCUCGCAGGGAAGUGCAGGAGCUCAGAGCCCGGCCUCCUGGACACGGCGCGGAGGCAGAGCAGCGCUCCUCAUCCCCUGCUCAGAGCGCCUGCUCGCAGCCUUGAAGCAUUAGCUACAUUAUAUGCUUUUGAAAUCCUCAUUAAACAUGUAUAAAUGGAAAUAAUUUGAUUUUCUAAUGCAAGCCAACCAUUCACAUUCACACGGGCUGCAGGCCACUCAUUCAGAGGCUGUGCCCAGCCCCUCGCACCCUGCUGCAGAGCGGGCUGUGGCCUCCCGGUGCUGGGGGCCCCAAAGCACCUUCGUCACAGCAGGCUGGCAGUCUACGGCACACGGUGAAUAUUCUUCAGUUUUAUUAAACUUCCCAAACAUCUCGAGCUCUAUUAUGUGCUAUCAGUGCCUAACUUCUUUAUUUGGCUGGAUGUCAGAGGCCGCAGUCAGGUCAGGUCCUAUUGUAUCAUAAGCACGGCACAGUCGUUUGGUGGGUGACAGGAAUGAUGAAAUUUUAUUCAAUAACUGCUGUAGCGCCACUUUCAGAAAUAUUUUUUACAUCAUUGUGACAUGUGCCAGAACUCAGAUAUGCGCUUGUAAAUUAGUGCACAGCACUUGGCAAUUUCUGGCUAAUGAAUUCCAGCAAGCAAUUUUCUUUGAAAUUUGUGGAAUAUUUUUGCAU